UAUAUGGCUCCCAUUUUUUUUAACGGCCCCACACAUGGCAUAUGGACGUUCUUGGGCAAGGGGUUGAACUGGAGCUGGAACUGCCUGCCUACACUACAAACGUGGCAACACCGAAUCUGAGAGCUGCAUCUGUGAGGUACACUGCAGCUUGCAGACUUGCUGGAUCCUUAACCACCUGAACGAGGCCAGGGAUCGAACCCGCAUCCCCAUGGACACUGCAUCAGGUCCUUAACCUGCUGAGCCACAAUAGGAACUCCUGUGGCUCCCAUUUUAGAUGAGGGAUUUAGAGGAAGGAAGCCUAAACAACAGAGACCCACAAAUGUGCUGGUUUUGGUUCUCAGCCAGUGAACUUUGGGGAGAGGCAGGGUUGGCUCGGAUUGGGGAGCGCUGUGAAAGAUGCCACCAGGGGUGAUCUGGGGUUGCUCUGAGUUAAGCCAUCCCAGACAGAAAUUUGUUAGGUUGCAUCCCCCUGGCUGUAGUCAGACGGUGAGGGGAUGAGACAGGUGCUGUGGCCAGGAAGACGAGUCACCCCAAGUACCUGGGGAGGCCGAGUGCUGUGGGUGCACUGAGGCUGUGGGCCUUAACCCUGGCAAGCCCUCGGGGUGGGGAGCAGAGAGGAGGAGGUUACUCAAGAGCUGGAGCAGCCCUCCGGGGGUACAGGACUCUUGCUCAACGGUGAGGCCUUUAAGAGACGACAGCUAUUGCUCAAAGGGACCUCUGGACCCUCUGAAUCCAAUCAUUCCAGUUCCUCAGGCCCACGGGCAAGGCAGCAGCGAUUAAUUCUUUGGUGGUAUUAAGAUCUUAGCCCACGGUCAUGGAUGGGAGUCACAGAGCAGUUGUGCACAGAGCCUGUUUGCAAGGUUGUGCCUUUGUAUAAAGCCACGUUAGAUUCCUACUGGUGAUUUCCUUUCUCAGCGCGGUUUGGGAGGGUCCCUUUGAGGGCAGGGCCCAGCGGUUCUCUUUCUGGAGCACUGAGUCUCCUCCUCCUUCAUGGAGCCCUAGAGGCUUUCUCGUGGACUCAGAAUGCCCAGCCCCGCUAUUGGCUGUUGCCAGCCCAGGGGUCAGGGGUUCACCAUCGCAGUUGUCAGUAGUAAUAUCUAGAGGGCUCGCAAAACGAGAUUGACCUUAAGCUGCUUUUAAGUUUGUCUUUCUUGUGAUCCUACACCAGAGUACUGGUCAAACCAGUCUGUAUCUGGCUGAUGAUUAUCAAUAAAGUAAACUUACCUCUGUGGCCAGGAACAGUUUCCAGCAUCCGGCAGCAUAGACUUACCUGGUGAAACUGCCCUAGUGACGGAGGUUUGUGUUUCAUGGAAGGCAGUGCCCCUCAGUGUGAGAAGUCUCAGCCAUUUCUGCGCAGAGAGGGGGCCCCACGCCCCCACCCCUCUUGUGGACCCCCCAGCCGAUGCAGAGUCUUUGAUGGGAUUGGUCUCUUUCCUAGAGGGCUCUCGGAUGCUUGUCCGCAUAUUAGGUCCUGGAGAAUGAACGGGUGACCGUGUGGGCUCUGGAUCCAGCUUCUUGUGCUGGUUGGUGGCCUGCAUACCCUGGUUUGCAGAAGAUAAAAAGCCACAGUCCCUUGCCUGCCAGGAAGCCAUGUCUAGUUGGACCAAUAAUUAUCCAUGUAAAUGAUGACGUGCAUUUAGAGGCCUAGGAGAAGGAGAAGAACCUGUGAAUAAAUGCUCACAGUGAAGAGCAAGGCAAGGAUAGCUCAGGGCCUCUUGAGCAGAAAAUCGGGAAAUGCUGGGACCUAAGGGCUUGGGCAGCCGGAAUAAUGCCAGCAUUUAUGUGCAUUUUCAGUUUGCACUGCUUGCGCAUGUGCCCAUGGACCCUCGUCACAAUCUCAGAGGUCGUUUGGUCAGACCAGGACGUUGCUGGUGUUUUCUGGCGAGUUGCUGAGGCCCCUGCGAAGUCACGGGGCACUUCAUCCAGGGUUGUGCAGCUCAGGGGGUGCCAGGACUCCGCAAGCGGCGGGGGGCUGGUUCUUCUGCGUUUGCUGCCUGCCUUGUUCCAUCCCUCGCCUACUGUUUCUGCAAAGCUCGGAGAGGGACCGAGAGCCUCUGUGCAUUUCACAGGAGAGGAAUUGGGGGGCUGGCCUUGGGGAGAAGAAUGACAGCUGUGGUCAUGAGAGUGACUGGAGGAACAAAAAGGGCGUCCAUUGGAGAGGUUUGUGCCAGCGGUUUAAUUUCCUUUAUUUCAGGACUGGAAGUUAUUUAAAUUACUUUAUAGACUUCCUGUUUCCUUGCAAGAGCUCAUUAAGCCCUGGGUGAGCUGCAGCCUCGCCUCGCCGCGACGGAGCAAGGGGACCCGCAGUUCCCAUUCUGUCCUCUGGGGCCCCCACAUCCGGGCGGUAGGUGCUGAGCGUGGAGGAGAUGGGGCCGCUGGACCCUUUUGCUGGAGGUCCAGUUAGGACUUGACACUGAGGGUGCUCCUCAAGGACGAAGCAUUCCCCAGUCCUCUGUCCUCCGUAGACUCCUUUCUGGACCUGUCUAUUUCACCGUCCCGGUACGGAGAAGAGGCCAGCCCAUCUCGCCCCGCCACAGGACCAGGAACCUUGCCUUGGCUUUUGGUGCCAAGCUAUGGCGUUAGCUGCCAGUGCGUGUGCCGUGAAGGCUGAGGGUUUCCCUGGUGAUCGGGGACCCGUGUCGGUGUGUGAGUGUGGAUUCCCGUAACCCUCUCUCUUUCACUUGAUGGGAGGGCUUUCAGGCAGGGAUUCCAGAAUUGCGCUAUAGCUUUUGAGCCCUGCUCAGAGGCACGUCUUGAAGAGCUGUAUGUUUGCCUAGAUGAUUUCCCUUUAAACUUGCCAAGAAAACACUUUUCGGUGACCAGGAAACACCCCUCCACCAUGGGCAUCUGUGACCGUUCUAUCCUGAGGAAGCCUGCCCCUACGUUCAGGGCUGAGGUCAUGGGUAGCGUGCUAAUCAGGAACAGCAGACAGGUGUUAGGAGGGAGCGGCAGUGGUGUCAGCAUCCAGAAGCUGUGGCUGGCUCCCUGUGGGGCUGUGGGCCAGUGGCAAUGCAGGGAAGCCCUGCUGCCGGCCUGCCGUCCAACUGGGAAAAGGUAGAGAAGGUGGCGAUGGGAUAGGUGGCCACAUCCAGGUCUCCCUUGACUCAGUGCGUUUUACUCCUUGGGUUGAAGGUGUGCCCUGCACUGUGUAUAACACCCCUUGAUAUCGGCACAUCCUCGGUUUCGGCCGGUCUGGAAAGUCUUGGGGGAAUCCCAUACCUGGGGGUUGGGAGGGACAUCCUUCCUCACUAACAGCCAGGCCAGAAUCUUAAAAAAGGAGGUAACGUAGGAGUUCCUGUCAUGGUGCAGUGGAAACAAAUCCGACGAGGAACCAUGAGGUUGCAAGUUCGAUCCCUGGCCUCGCUCAGUGGGUUAAGGAUCCGGUGUUGCCGUGAGCGGUGGUGUAGGUCCCAGACACGGCGCGAAUAUGGCCUUGCUGUGGCUGUGGUGUAGGCCAACAGCUAUAGCUCUGAUUGGACCCCUAGCCUGGGAACCUCCAUAUGCUGUGGGUGCAGCCCUAAAAAGCCAGAAAAAGAGAAGGAAGUCAUACAGUGACUUCAGUGGAACCUGAGUCAGACUUGCAUGCCUCAGUGAAUGCGGAGUCUUAAAUAUUCAUUUACAACGCUAAGGUCUGUAAUUUCUUCAUAAAGAAUUCUAAAAUAAUAAAGAUGACCUGGUAGGCAAAAUUCACUGGUAUUUUCUAAAAGCUUUUGAUAAGGUCCCUCAUAAAAGAUUAAGAGAGAACAAAACCACAGUGUGGCGAAAAGUCCUUGUUGUGGAUUAAAAAAUGAUUAAGUGAUAGGAACAGAAGAAUGCUGGUGGAGACCCACUGCUUGGAGCGGGGAGAGGUUAAUAGAGGGGUGUCUGAGGAGUCGGUCGUUGGGGCUGGAGUUAUUAAGUGCAUUAAUUGUUUGGAGACGGGAAUGCAGGGACUGCCGCUACCUGCCUUUUGUCCCUGGCUUCAACCUGGAGAGAGUCUCUCCAGCCUUGAAUCUCCUGGGGGAUCAGGCCCCCCGAGCAGGGGCAGAGGAGGUGAGGUUGGCGACGUCUGCGGCGUAAUUCAGAUGGGCAGAAAGUCUAGCCCACACGGAAAAGCUGCAGUGCCCCUGACCUGGCCCCUUCUCCAGAGGACAGAGGUUUAGGAGUUCCCACGGGCAGCAGCAGUCCCGUGAAGUAUAGAGCAGAUAGAGGAAACGGGGAGGGGGUGGCGCUGAGAAAUACAGGGUUUCCAUAGGACGGCCGAAGCCUGCUCUGGCGCGGAUGGAUCUUACUGUCCUGCGCUGUUGGGGGGAGGGACAUUUUUAAGUCUUUCUGACCAUGUUGUGUGCAGUUAGAUUUAUUUUUAGAGUCACAAUGAGGGCAGUCUGCUGUCCAUGGAAAUGCUGCCUCUUUUGUUCUCUAUGGGGACUUUGCAGGGUCCUCCGAAACACCUUACAUACGUGCGCACGUGGCCUCUUGGGUGGGUCUGGUUGAACUACCACAUCAUGGGAGACGAUCACGCGGAACCUUAGGGUCGACCAGUGGCCUGGCCUCUGGGAUUUUUCUAAGUUCAAGGUGGGGCAUCGAAGCCGUCUGGGGAGGGGAAUGGGUUUGAGUUGAGCAGGGGCGGGGGUGGUGCAAGCCAGCUGUGGAGCUGCCUCUUUAAGGCUGUUUUCUGUGGUCCUUCUGUGGCUGCAAUGAAAGUUUCUUGCCCGUGGCCAUCUGCCUCCAGAGCUGGUGCUUUCCUGAGUGGGAUCUUCCAGGCAGGCCACGGAUUUCUCUCUUCACCCCCUUUGUUUUGCGAUCUCCUUCUUUUUAGCUGUCUGCUUACCCGAGUCCCACUUUAAUUAAAACCUCGAAGAGGAGUUCCCGUCGUGGCGCAGUGGUUAACGAAUCCGACUAGGAACCAUGAGGUUGCGGGUUCGGUCCCUGCCCUUGCUCAGUGGGUUAACGAUCCGGCGUUGCUGUGGCUGUGGUGUAGGCCGGCGGCUACAGCUCCAAUUUGACCCCUAGCCUGGGAACCAACAUAUGCCGCGGGAGCGGCCCAAAGAAAUGG
rnacentral:lncRNA from 1 species